CUUGUCAUGAUGGCCCUCUAUAACGUAGUGAGACGGUUUCCUGAGUUUCCCAUGGCAACCACUUACCUUCACAACUGCCGCUCAGGUGUUAAAAGUGUCUCACUUGACUAGACUGAGCUUGGUCGUUUGGAUCAGGUAUGAGUAAAAUCAAGGAUGGACUGCGGCUUUGGAGAUUUAUAAGCACUUAUGUCGAGGCUGAAAAGUUCUUUAUCUGACCUUGCUGGCAGACGACACGCCCCACCCCCAUCUUCCACCUCCCACGUCCCUCCGACUGCUCGUACGCAUGCGCCCACGCAUACACCUGGCAGGUUGCGGUUCAUCAGGACUUGUUUAGCCCAGGAAUAAACAACAGCCUGGCGUUUCUUUUUGCCCCGCUAUCAUCCAGCUUGUGUACUCAUUAAUUUACACAGGCAGCUCAUUGUAUUGUGAUAAGUCCUGUUGGCUGCUCAGGAAAAAACACUUUUACUAUUUUUUUUCAAAAUUCACCAGAAGAAAUAAAAUGCUCACUAUCUUUUGGGAGAUCCAAAAACAUUGAGUGAAACCACCCUACCGGUAACAUCAAAACACAAUGAACAGUUUAAAGAUUCACACUUAUAAAAGAAGCAGAAGCAGAUACUUACGAAGAAAGUAUAACAGAGGUAAAAAAAAACUUAAAGUAAGACAAAUACAGUUGAUGAAAGUAACGGAGCGUAAAAAUGUUUCGUGGACCACAAUGAGCUUUAAACAGCGGGUCACUACAGCCGCCAGUCAGUAAAUCCAACUGACAUUUCCAUAGCAACACUUUAUUUUGAGGUCUGACAAGUCUCUGGGGAGAACCCUGACGCGUUUACCAAACCAGUCAAAUCUGGCCAACAAGAAAAAGUUGAAACACGCCCGUCAUCUAUCUCACCUGCACGGUCCGUGUCCCCAUGCUCCCUCCAUGGCUCACAGAACUCGGUCAUCAACAUUCUGCAGUUGUGAGCCACCCGUGACCCCAAAGGUUAUGCUAUGGUGAUGUCACCUGACAACGAGCCGCCACGGUGACGGUUGUAUAACAGUUGAUGCAGAGUUCCCUGUGGUUGGAGGAGGUGGUGGUGGUGCGUGGAGCAGCUCCUCCCCCUAUCCCCACUCUCCACCCUCAAGUUUCCGAGAAUGAGAGCGACAUCUCUUGUCUAUGUUCAGCCGGGAAGAUUCAGUCUGUCACAGACCCUCGUGUAACGCCCUCAUGCACUCAUGUCCAACAACAAAAAAAAAAAAAAAAAAAGA